CAGCAGCUACAGUCCAGCAAACACAGGUUAUCUUAGUAACUGAAAAGCUGUUUUACCUCCACAGCUGGUUACUGACUUUAACCAGAAGAGAUGGAUCUGGUAACUAACCUGUCGUCUCUUUUCUCAGGCUGAGAGAUUGUUGGCUGCUUCCUGUGCUUCUGCUGCGACUCCGAGAGAACGGGUUUCAGGAUUCCUGCUUUGUCUGGUGUCCUGGUGUCCUCCACCUCUCCACCCCUCCCCCCCUCUACCUCUAUCAUUUUUGGAUAUCUAUCUUUUCUGUCACUCUAGUGCAUAUCUAUCUACAUAU